GCAGCAUUGGUGUAACGGCAACACAUCAGUCUUCCAAACUGAGGAUGCGAGUUCAACUCUCGUAUGCUGCUCCA
rnacentral:tRNA from 1 species